CUUCAAUUAUGUCUGAACAGGAAAGUACGUGCCUAGAUCAGUGUCUGUAAUCCUAGACAGCGAAGCCAAGGUUGUACUUAUGAUGAGGAAGCAUAAUCUAUUCAAAAGCAAGAAGGAGGUCGCUCUUCCUGGGUAAUUAAAAAUUGAUAU